AUAGGUCCGGAUGGUGAUUUAUGACUUAGUUGGAUAGCUUGGACGAAUUCCGAGGGUCUCUAGAGUGAUUCAAAUGCUUGAGUUGCACUUUAAUAGAAUUGAGAGUUAAGAGUUGACCACAUAGUUGACUAAACGAGUUCAGAUUCAUGAUUUGAAAGUUCCAACCAGUUUGUAUGAUGAUUUUGGACUUUUCCACAAAUUUUUGUUAGAUGUUAAUGAUUUUCGGACAGGUUUUAGCGUGUUGCAUUCAUAUUUGAUGUUCAGACGCCGUUUUGAGCAUAAAUGGUACCACAUUAAGCAAAUGAACUCUAAAUUAUGUUUUAUUGAACCAUUAGACCCGUAUUGUACUUACGGAACCAUAGCAACAGGAAUCGUUGAAUUUCGAGAUUGAAUGAGAGAGUUAUACCCAUUUUAAUGUCGGAAAAAGUUAUUGGCGUUGGUGCACCGGGGGUGCAUAAAAGGGACCGCAGAUGCGGAGCCCCAGAUUUGGGAAUAUGUCCGCAGGUGCGACGUGGGGGCCGCACGUGCGAAGGCCCUGAGUGGUUUAGAAAUUUUAACUUUGAAUCAUUUAUUCAAAAUCAAUUUUUUGGUUUUCUAGAGCUCGGUUUUGGGAAAGUUUUGUGGGAUUCUUCUCGUUUUAGCGUGGGGGUAAGUAUUUAACCUCAAAUUUUGUAUUUCAACAUGAUUAAACUCGUUCAUUAGUGAAUUAAUCCGUAUGUUGGUUGGGUAUUUGAGGAUCUCAGCCCUAAAACUUAAGAAGAUGAAAUUUAUGAAUUUUGAGGCCGAUUCGAAAUUGUCUUGGGGUGAAAUGUCAGAUCUGAAUUUUUAAAGGAAUGGGUAACCCGAAAUUUGCGGUUUUGAACGGUUGGCUAGGGAUUGACUUUUUGGUUGAUCUUUUUAGUUCGAAUUAUUUUAGAUAGCAAUAUGGGUAUCAUUGGACUCGUUUAACCUCGUAGAGUACUUAUUUGAAUAUAUUGGACUCGUUUGGUGAUUUUGGACGUGGUAGAUCUUUUCGGAAGACUUAAAGCUUUAUUUGGAUCGAGGUAAGUUAAGACAUUUUAGACUUCAUUUGAGGGAUGUUUUUAAUAACUAGUAAUGAUAAGGGCUAAGGGUAAAAGAGGGGUUCUGAAAAUAUGGCCUACCGCCCCGACUGGCACGACACGGUAAGCUAAUUUCGGGUUGUUUUUCAAUUUUUCAAUUUUUCAAUUUUUAAUGGUAUUUUGGUCUGGACACUUUGGGGUAUU